rnacentral:rRNA from 1 species
CAGUCGCCGCGGUAAAACGUAGGUGGCAAGCGUUGUCCGGAAUUAUUGGGCGUAAAGCGCGCGCAGGCGGCUUCCCAAGUCCCUCUUAAAAGUGCGGGGCUUAACCCCGUGAUGGGAAGGAAACUGGGAAGCUGGAGUAUCGGAGAGGAAAGUGGAAUUCCUAGUGGAGCGGUGAAAUGCGUUGAGAUCGGAAAGAACACCAACGGCGAAAGCACUCUGCUGGGCCGACACUGACACUGAGAGACGAAAGCUAGGGGAGCAAAUGGGAUUAGAUACCCCCGUAGUCCCUGUCUCUUAUACA